rnacentral:rRNA from 1 species
ACGGGUGAGUAACGCGUAGGUAACCUGCCUGGUAGCGGGGGAUAACUAUUGGAAACGAUAGCUAAUACCGCAUAAGAGUAGAUGUUGCAUGACAUUUGCUUAAAAGGUGCAAUUGCAUCACUACCAGAUGGACCCGCGGUGCAUUAGCUAGUUGGUAGGGUAAAGGCCUACCAAGGCGAUGAUGCAUAGCCGACCUGAGAGGGUGAUCGGCCACAUUGGGACUGAGACACGGCCCAAACUCCUACGGGAGGCAGCAGUAGGGAAUCUUCCGCAAUGGACGCAAGUCUGACGGAGCAACGCCGCGUGAGUGAAGAAGGUCUUCGGAUCGUAAAGCUCUGUUGUUAGAGAAGAACAGCGCAUAGAGUAACUGUUAUGCGUGUGACGGUAUCUAACCAGAAAGCCACGGCUAACUACGUGCCAGCAGCCGCGGUAAUACGUAGGUGGCGAGCGUUGUCCGGAUUUAUUGGGCGUAAAGGGAGUGUAGGCGGUCUUUUAAGUCUGAUGUGAAAGCCCACGGCUCAACCGUGGAGGGUCAUUGGAAACUGGGAGACUUGAGUGCAGAAGAGGAGAGCGGAAUUCCAUGUGUAGCGGUGAAAUGCGUAGAUAUAUGGAGGAACACCAGUGGCGAAGGCGGCUCUCUGGUCUGUAACUGACGCUGAGGCUCGAAAGCGUGGGGAGCAAACAGGAUUAGAUACCCUGGUAGUCCA